AUUCAGCAUUAACUUGUUAGUUAAUUAGGAUUUGUGGACUAAAAUUUCGUUUAACUUGUGUUCUAUGCCCAUUUAACACAGGAAUUUGAAGAUUGGCUCAAGUUUCAUGCUUGUUCUGUAGGGUUGCGGCUACUUCUAUAGCUGUGCUGGUUAUGGAAAACUGCAGUACAUUACUGGCUUCAAUGAAUCCAAAGAGCAUGAGCAAAAUUGAUAACUUGGGCAGGCAAUCUCUAUGAACAGCCUCAUUCACUGGAGAUACAAAAGGAUUGAUGCUUUGUGCCUCUGCUUAAAUCGUAGCCCGUAGGCUGUUUCUUUCAUGCCACUCCACAAACAUUCAAAUAAGUUCAGGUUCAAGGUUUCUAUUUUUUCUAAAACUAACAGAGAUUGUACUUCAUACUUGAAUUGAGAGAGGGAGGAAAUCCCCGAACGUUUGAAUCUCUUCCAUUGAUAUUAACACAUUAGGAAUUAUAGUUUUUCAUCCACCAUACUACAGUACAUAGGCAAGGAAAAAACGAAAAAGUUAUUAAAAAAUUAAAAUCUAACAUCGGCAUAUCGUGACUUGGUUUCACAUGUAUAUGUAUACCCCCAAACAUCAUAAUCUCUAUACGCGAGACUUCUCACUAGCAUGGCAAUGGUCGUAGAUUU